rnacentral:tRNA from 1 species
GGAUCUUAGCUCAGCUGGGAGAGCAUCUGCCUUACAAGCAGAGGGUCACAGGUUCGAGCCCUGUAGGUCCCA